rnacentral:rRNA from 1 species
AUUGAACGCUGGCGGCAUGCUUUACACAUGCAAGUCGAACGGUAACAGGCCGCAAGGUGCUGACGAGUGGCGAACGGGUGAGUAAUGCAUCGGAACGUGCCCAGUCGUGGGGGAUAACGCAGCGAAAGCUGCGCUAAUACCGCAUACGAUCUAUGGAUGAAAGCGGGGGAUCGCAAGACCUCGCGCGAUUGGAGCGGCCGAUGUCAGAUUAGGUAGUUGGUGGGGUAAAGGCUCACCAAGCCGACGAUCUGUAGCUGGUCUGAGAGGACGACCAGCCACACUGGAACUGAGACACGGUCCAGACUCCUACGGGAGGCAGCAGUGGGGAAUUUUGGACAAUGGGCGCAAGCCUGAUCCAGCAAUGCCGCGUGCAGGAAGAAGGCCUUCGGGUUGUAAACUGCUUUGUACGGAACGAAACGGUACCUGGUUAAUACCCGGGCGUAAUGACGGUACCGUAACGAAUAAGCACCGGCUAACUACGUAGCCAGCAGCCG